CAGGCUUAACACAUGCAAGUCGAGGGGCAUCAGGAAGAAAGCUUGCUUUCUUUGCUGGCGACCGGCGCACGGGUGAGUAACACGUAUCCAACCUGCCCUUUACUCGGGGAUAGCCUUUCGAAAGAAAGAUUAAUACCCGAUAGCAUAAUGAUUCCGCAUGGUUUCAUUAUUAAAGGAUUCCGGUAAAGGAUGGGGAUGCGUUCCAUUAGGUUGUUGGUGAGGUAACGGCCCACCAAGCCUUCGAUGGAUAGGGGUUCUGAGAGGAAGGUCCCCCACAUUGGAACUGAGACACGGUCCAAACUCCUACGGGAGGCAGCAGUGAGGAAUAUUGGUCAAUGGGCGCUAGCCUGAACCAGCCAAGUAGCGUGAAGGAUGAAGGCUCUAUGGGUCGUAAACUUCUUUUAUAUAAGAAUAAAGUGCAGUAUGUAUACUGUUUUGUAUGUAUUAUAUGAAUAAGGAUCGGCUAACUCCGUGCCAGCAGCCGCGGUAAUACGGAGGAUCCGAGCGUUAUCCGGAUUUAUUGGGUUUAAAGGGAGCGUAGGUGGACUGGUAAGUCAGUUGUGAAAGUUUGCGGCUCAACCGUAAAAUUGCAGUUGAUACUGUCAGUCUUGAGUACAGUAGAGGUGGGCGGAAUUCGUGGUGUAGCGGUGAAAUGCUUAGAUAUCACGAAGAACUCCGAUUGCGAAGGCAGCUCACUGGACUGCAACUGACACUGAUGCUCGAAAGUGUGGGUAUCAAACAGGAUUAGAUACCCUGGUAGUCCACACAGUAAACGAUGAAUACUCGCUGUUUGCGAUAUACAGUAAGCGGCCAAGCGAAAGCAUUAAGUAUUCCACCUGGGGAGUACGCCGGCAACGGUGAAACUCAAAGGAAUUGACGGGGGCCCGCACAAGCGGAGGAACAUGUGGUUUAAUUCGAUGAUACGCGAGGAACCUUACCCGGGCUUAAAUUGCAGUGGAAUGAUGUGGAAACAUGUCAGUGAGCAAUCACCGCUGUGAAGGUGCUGCAUGGUUGUCGUCAGCUCGUGCCGUGAGGUGUCGGCUUAAGUGCCAUAACGAGCGCAACCCUUAUCUUUAGUUACUAACAGGUUAUGCUGAGGACUCUGGAGAGACUGCCGUCGUAAGAUGUGAGGAAGGUGGGGAUGACGUCAAAUCAGCACGGCCCUUACGUCCGGGGCUACACACGUGUUACAAUGGGGGGUACAGAAGGCAGCUAGCGGGUGACCGUAUGCUAAUCCCAAAAGCCUCUCUCAGUUCGGAUCGAAGUCUGCAACCCGACUUCGUGAAGCUGGAUUCGCUAGUAAUCGCGCAUCAGCCACGGCGCGGUGAAUACGUUCCCGGGCCUUGUACACACCGCCCGUCAAGCCAUGAAAGCCGGGGGUACCUGAAGUACGUAACCGCAAGGAGCGUCCUAGGGUAAAACUGGUGACUGGGGCUAAGU
rnacentral:rRNA from 1 species